UAUUGUUGGAUUUCGGACGCCAUAUUUGCAUGACAGAGUUUUUGCACAUUAUAAAUCAAAGAUUAAUUGUAAAUGCAGAAAACAUUGUUUCCUAACAAUUUCUUUGUUAAAACUUAAGAAUGACAAUAUCGUAAGUAUUCUUGCUUUAAGUAAUUCGUAAAGAUAUAAAUACAAGAAAUUCAUAUAUCAAUAAAUAGCGUGUGAUUACAUUGUUUCAAUACUUUCUUUGUUUUGGAAGCGUUAGGAGUGAAAUGGAGAAUGUAAAGAUCUUGCUGAUAAUUUGCGUGAUUUACAUCAUCGGAUUUUCCUCUGUCAACGGAUACGAGAUUUGCACUGCAGAACAAGUAAAGGGCGAAUGUAACCUGGAGUGCGUGGUAGCCAAAUUACGCUUGUGCAGUGCGGAACCGCCUUGUGAAUGUCCUAAACUUCCGGAUCGACAAGGAAAGAAAAGAGGAAAACAUGAUAAUAAACAUUGGGGAGGACAUUUCGGAAAACUAUUUUACGAAAAUGAAGUUUCUGAAAGAUUUUCCUAUGUCGAAUUGAUAGAGUGUUAAACUGCAGAAGUUUUAUUUUAUAAUGCUUAAAAUUUUUUUGUCUUCUUUAAUAAGAAU